rfam:Triticum aestivum genome assembly, contig: Triticum_aestivum_CS42_TGACv1_scaffold_432975_5DL
AAACUACUUCCUCCGUCCGAAAAAACUUGUUCCAAACUUGUCCUUCAAGUAGAUGUAUUUAACACAAACUUGAUAUUAGACACAUUCAUUUGAAGGACAAUCUUUUUCGGACGGAGGGAGUACUAA